AGUGAACGCUGGCGGUAGGCCUAACACAUGCAAGUCGAACGGCAGCACAGUAAGAGCUUGCUCUUACGGGUGGCGAGUGGCGGACGGGUGAGGAAUACAUCGGAAUCUACUCUUUCGUGGGGGAUAACGUAGGGAAACUUACGCUAAUACCGCAUACGACCUACGGGUGAAAGCAGGGGAUCUUCGGACCUUGCGCGAUUGAAUGAGCCGAUGUCGGAUUAGCUAGUUGGCGGGGUAAGGGCCCACCAAGGCGACGAUCCGUAGCUGGUCUGAGAGGAUGAUCAGCCACACUGGAACUGAGACACGGUCCAGAGUCCUACGGGAGGCAGCAGUGGGGAAUAUUGGACAAUGGGCGCAAGCCUGAUCCAGCCAUACCGCGUGGGUGAAGAAGGCCUUCGGGUUGUAAAGCCCUUUUGUUGGGAAAGAAAAGCAGCAGGUUAAUACCCCGCUGUUCUGACGGUACCCAAAGAAUAAGCACCGGCUAACUUCGUG
rnacentral:rRNA from 1 species